rnacentral:rRNA from 1 species
UACGUAGGGCGCAAGCGUUGUCCGGAAUUAUUGGGCGUAAAGAGCUCGUAGGCGGUCUGUCGCGUCUGCCGUGAAAACCCAUGGCUUAACUGUGGGCUUGCGGUGGAUACGGGCGGACUUGAGGUAGGUAGGGGAGAAUGGAAUUCCCGGUGUAGCGGUGAAAUGCGCAGAUAUCGGGAGGAACACCGGUGGCGAAGGCGGUUCUCUGGGCCUUACCUGACGCUGAGGAGCGAAAGCGUGGGGAGCGAACAGGAUUAGAUACCCUGGUAGUCCACGCCGUAAACGUUGGGCGCUAGGUGUGGGGUCUUUCCACGGAUUCCGUGCCGUAGCUAACGCAUUAAGCGCCCCGCCUGGGGAGUACGGCCGCAAGGCUAAA